GGAUGGCCCUUUGACUCCCUUAACACAUGUGCCUGUUUCGACUGCUGUUUUAACAUCAUCAAAAUGUUGGCUGUGGGUACGUGGUCUCACAUCUCUUGUUUGCGACACAUACACCCUAGUGAAUCCAUUUCCUUUAGCUGCUACUUCUCCCUUCUCGUAACACCAGUUGCAUCCAUAUUCACCAUUAAAUUGCUUAGUGUUUUGGACAGAGCAGCGAGCCACCGAGUCACAUACACAGACAAGAUUAAACACAUACAUCUGUGUACUUUGUCCUGUGUGCUGUACGGUUAGACCUGAAUGCACUCAUCAACAAACGACUGCAAAAAGAAAUUCAUUUUAGGCUUAGAAGCACCAAACCACAAACCAGCCAGGAGCACAUGCCUACUUCUCAUAUCUGGGGAAAGUUCAUUAAUUACUACUUGGAUACAUUGGUUACAUUUCUUAACAUAGUUAACUGUAGGUAAAUAUGUUACCGUGGAAACAUUAAGCAACAAUGAAGUUAACGGUUUUGUGUUGCUAUUCAGACAAAUGAUUAAAUCUAUCUAUCUAUCUAUCUGUGUUUAAAAUUGUAAUAUUUUUGCCAUUAUAGACAAAAUGUGGGCAUUAAUUGAAUGGACCGAAAUGGCUGAAACGACUGAAUCAGAUGGAGUCAGAGAAAAGGCAGAAAGAAGUGUGCAAGCUGCCUGAAAAAAGAACAAUAGAAAGAAAAAGAAUAUUUAGUCUAGAAAACACCCCAUCAUCAAGUCCAGAAGAGAUUUAAAAAAGUAAAACUUCUUGAUAAAUUAUAUUAACAUCUUUUACUGUUAUUUUUGUGUAUCAUGUGUUUUUGCUGUUAUGUGACUUUAAUUUUGUCUCUCAACUUAGGUGGAAAUAACAUAAAAUGACACACUAUUGCUUAAGAUAACAGAAGAAAAAAACAAAGAAAAUGAAAAAUUAAAUGAUUUGAGAAAAGAAAUCAAAGCUUUGAGAAUAGAGAAUCAGCAACUAAAGGCUCUGAACUUUAAAUUGCAAAAUAGUAAGCUAUUUAUAUACAUGGUUAUAUAGUUUUUGCUAUGAAUAAAUGAGUUUAUUUAAACACUGUUCUUCUUUAUGUAGAGAUUAUUAACAGAUUUGGAGAGUUGCUGCCUAACAGUGUAAACAAGCAUGCUGUGCCAACCUCUGUAACAAGUGCAGCUUGCAGUGCUGCCCUUCAACCAGCCGACUCUUCACAUCUCAGUUCUUCUGAACUUGACCAUGUGACAAUACUAUUUUUAGAUUUUCUUUUCACACCAUUUAAAUAAGUCAAUUCAGUUUUUGUGUGUGUGUGUGUGUGUGUGUGUCUACUUAACCAUAUUUUGGGGACAAUUUUGUACCCAGAAGUGAUCAAAACCUGACAAAAUCUCCACAACCUCCCUUUAGGGACGUCCUCAUUUGUAAAACUGGUUUAAAAUAAAGUAAUUAAAGUUUUUUUUUUUUCAAAUGUAAAAAUGCAGAAAGUUUCCUGUGAUGGGUAGGUUUAGGGGUAGGCAUGUGGUAGAGGAGGCACAUCAUGGUCAGCCAUGGUUAAGGAUUUGGCUGUGGCUGUUUUUGGAAGGAGGAUGUUGGCUACCCACAGCCUUUCAGGAAAAAUUGGAAAUGCCAACAAAGAAUCCCAACCCAAGCCUCCUUUGGACCCCACAAAAGUGGAACUCAUUAUAGACACGGUUCUGAAGAAAUUUCCGUCAACUCCACGAAAGUUUAUUUGGGCUGCUUUACGAGAAAAAAUGAAUGAUGAACAUAAACUCCUCACCAGGCAGCAUAAGAAGGACACUUUUACACUGCAACAUUGAGUGGUGAAGUACAUAUAAGAGAGGCCAGAGUUAUCGGUUUCUCCAGAGUGAAGGGCCACUUUCUGUUUAGAGUUCAUUUUCUUCACACUUAUAAUAAAUAAUUAACAAUUAACAUCUUCUGAAGUUGUUUUUAAUUUUUUGUUGGUAUUUAAAUUUGAGACACACAACAUUGCUUUUUUGAAAGUGAUUUUUUAUACAUCAGGGCCUGCAUCCCUUCAGCCGUCCAACAGGAUGAGUAUACAUAAUAGUUCAUCAGA